rnacentral:rRNA from 1 species
UACGGAGGGUGCAAGCGUUAUCCGGAAUCAUUGGGUUUAAAGGGUCCGCAGGCGGAUGUAUAAGUCAGUGGUGAAAUCCUAUCGCUUAACGAUAGAACUGCCAUUGAUACUGUACGUCUUGAAUUCGGUCGAAGUGGGCGGAAUGUGUAGUGUAGCGGUGAAAUGCAUAGAUAUUACACAGAACACCGAUAGCGAAGGCAGCUCACUAGGCCUGGAUUGACGCUCAGGGACGAAAGCGUGGGGAUCAAACAGG